UACGUAGGGACCGAGCGUUGUCCGGAUUCAUUGGGUGUAAAGAGCUCGUAGGCGGCUGUUCAAGUCGAACGUGAAAACUCGGAGCUCAACUCCGAGCCUGCGUUCGAUACUGGACGGCUAGAGUCUGGUAGGGGGAUCUGGAAUUCCUGGUGUAGCGGUGGAAUGCGCAGAUAUCAGGAGGAACACCGGUGGCGAAGGCGGGAUCCUGGGCCAGUACUGACGCUGAGGAGCGAAAGCGUGGGGAGCGAACAGG
rnacentral:rRNA from 1 species